rnacentral:misc_RNA from 1 species
CGCCGUACUAAGCCAGAGGAUAAGGGACGAUAUCAAUCAUUUGCUACAGGUAUGUAGUUAAACGUGAUCAGUCCUGAAAAAUUUAAUCAUUUUUUUUUCAAAACUGGCUUUUAUACAUAGUUUUUCUUGCGUGAUAUUUAGAUUAUACAUUAUACGAACUUAUUUUUUAUGGUUCGCAUUUUCAAUGUAUAUGAUUCCCAUAUAGUGACCUAACUUAAGUGUUUUGUUAUGGAAGCUUAUUUUUGCAAGAAACGUCUGAAAUAAAAAUCUUCUUUUCUUUUUUUAUACAUAAUUUUAAGUCCUGAGAAACCCACCUUGAUGAACAGAAUAUUUGUUUACGGAACAUUGAAAAAUGGUCAGCCAAAUCACUUUCGUUUGAUGGAUCCUGGUACAGGCACCACUUUAUUCGUCGGUGUCGGACAGACCGUGGAGAAGUACCCGCUGGUGAUUGAGAGAUCCUGGAAUAUGCCUUGUCUCUUACACGUGCCAGGAACUGGAUGGCUUAAUUGAUUAGCGGGAAUAUCUAGUUUUAAAACUUUCCCUUUUUAGCAUGUGAAGGGUGAAAUCUAUGACGUGGAUGAUGAGAAAAUGAAGUUCCUGGAUUACUUUGAAGAUCACCCUGAAAUGUACACACGCACCGUGAUAUUGGCUGAGUACACAAACUCAAAAGAUACACAGUGUAGCGAUCCAGAUUCCCAGUCGAGCGCGCCGAAAUCCAAAGAAAACCAACCGAACACCCGCUACGAGUGUUGGUGCUAUUUUUAUAACGACCGUGAUUCUGUGGGUGACCUUCCUCACAUUGAUGUAUAUGACUCCAAGGGAGACCAUGGCUUGGAGUAUGAUGCCAGUAUCGAUGCGGAAUUUGAUAAGGACAAAAAAUCAUAGUAAACGAGAAG